rnacentral:rRNA from 12 species
AUUCACACAUAACCCUGGUCAAACCCAAUCUUGUGUGACCUUGAGAAGCAACCAGGGCCAAGCCUGGUUAGUGCUUUAAUGAGAGACCAUCUUGGAAUACCAGGUCCUUUGAGAGUU